GGCCUUUUAGCUCAGUUGGUUAGAGCAUCGUGCUAAUAACGCGAGGGUCAUUGGUUCAAAUCCAAUAAGGGCUA
rnacentral:tRNA from 1 species